GAUGAACGCUGGCGGCGUGCUUAACACAUGCAAGUCGAACGGACCUUUGAUGAAGCCUAGCGAUUUAAAGGUUAGUGGCGGACGGGUGAGUAACGCGUGGGUAACCUGCCUUAUACAGGGGGAUAACACUUAGAAAUAGGUGCUAAUACCGCAUAAGCGCACAGUAUCGCAUGAUACAGUGUGAAAAACUCCGGUGGUAUAAGAUGGACCCGCGUCUGAUUAGCUAGUUGGUGAGGUAACGGCUCACCAAGGCGACGAUCAGUAGCCGGCCUGAGAGGGUGAACGGCCACAUUGGGACUGAGACACGGCCCAAACUCCUACGGGAGGCAGCAGUGGGGAAUAUUGCGCAAUGGGGGCAACCCUGACGCAGCAACGCCGCGUGAAGGAUGAAGGUCUUCGGAUUGAAACUUUUGCUUAAGGGAGAAAAUGACGGUACCUUAGGAGGAAGCCACGGCUAAACUACGUG
rnacentral:rRNA from 1 species